rnacentral:rRNA from 1 species
GAUGAACGCUGGCGGCGUGCCUAAUACAUGCAAGUCGAGCGAAGCGGGGACGGGUGAGUAACACGUGGGUAACAUCCUAUAAGCAUGGGAUAACUUCGGGAAACCGGAGCUAAACCGGAAACUUAUAGAUGGAUCCACGCUGCAUUAGCUAGGUGGUUAGGUAACGGCUUACCAAGGCAAAGAUGCAGAGCCGGCCUGAGAGGGUUACCGGCCACACUGGAACCGAGACACGGUCCAGACCCCUACGGGAAGCAGCAGUAGGGAAUCUUCCGCCAUGGGCGAAAGCCUGACGGAGCAACGCCGCGUGAGUGAUGAAGGUCUUCGGAUCGUAAAACUCUUUUAGCAGGGAAGCGUUACCUACACAGAAAGCCACGGCUAACUACGUGCCAGCAGCCGCGGUAAUAC